rnacentral:tRNA from 1 species
GGGAAUGUGACUUAGUGGUAUGGUGCUUGCCUAGCAUGCAUGAAGCCCUGGGUUCAAUUUCUCAGCACCA